rnacentral:lncRNA from 1 species
GGGUCGUAUUGCUUUUUUAACAGAUGAUUUUGUUUGUAUGUAAUAUCUUCAAUAGUUAACACAGUGGAUCACAAUUUUUUCUAAAAAUGUAUUCUAUGUUAUUUGAUUGUCCAAAAAAUGUAUAAAACAGAUGUUGUUUACAUUUGGAUGGUGAAAGUGUGCUGAUUAUGUCAAUGAUUGUAAAGUAUCAUGUUAUUUUCACAAAACAAUGAUAUUUUUUUAUUUAGGGGCCAGCUGAGGCCCACCUACGGGUGGAGGAUUUUCUCACUGCGUUGAAGACCCAUUGGUGACCUUCAGCUGUUGUCUGCUCUUUGGUCGGGUUGUUGUCUCUUUGACAUAUUCCCCAUUUCCAUUCUCAAUUGUAUUUUCAUAUUCCUGACUUUUGACUCUGGAAAAUUUAUUUUAUUAUCAAGUUGUCUUCUCUAAAAUAGAACAUCCUGGUUCUCUGUCGAAAAAGAGCAUCCCAAAAAAUUAAAAUCAAGCACAUAACUGGUGCAUUUUAGGGGAAAGUUUGUUGUUUUUGAUGAUUGAUGUAUGUAGAUAACAUCAAACAGUAAAUUUUAACCCUAAUUGUAAUAUUGUAAUCAUUUUUUUUUAAGUUGCACUAACCUACAACAGAAAAGGUAACAUGUCUAAAAAAAAAAUAUAAACUCUGGAGUUAAAAGUUAGUAGUAUGAAAAUAUUCUAUUGGAAUUUUUAUUUUUUUUAUUUUUUUUGCAUGAUAAUGGUAAUAUCAGUGGUAUUUUACAGUAAUACCAUAUUUUAUGAGGGUUAAGCUGAAAUGCAAAUCUGGCCAUGUGUAUUUAAUGACAAACCAUUCAAGUGGAAUUUUUUAUAAAAGUUUUUCACAGUUUCUGCAUUCCACCUUUAUUGCUGUAAGUAUCAAGGUUUUUAAUGCAGCAAUAUUUGAUAUUGAAUUUGUAUUGAAUUUUAAAGAAGAUUUAUUAUGUUAUUGCUGUUAAAUUGUGUUAAAACAGGAGAGUUUUAAUAAAGUAUGGCAGAUAUCAGAAA